rnacentral:rRNA from 1 species
AUAAGAUCGGAUCGGGGCGGCGCCAGCGGCAGAAUCCGCCAAAGCGGAGGCAUGUGGGUGGGAGUGGCCAACAAACUUCAAUACUACUCCGUUUUUAUUUCUGAAAAAGAAAUGAUAAGCCGUGCUCAUGGGGUCCAAGUCAUCGGUGUCCAAGCGAACCUAACUUGCGCAAUGUAAACACGCCGGAAACGAACGGUGAUGUCACUAACGCGAAAUGCGUUCGGUUUUCGGAGUAUUAGUCAAAGCGCACUAGUAGGACGCCCCGCGUUAUCUUAUCCCCGUCGCCCCCUCUAUAUAUACCCGCCCUCCUGCCAGAUUGUAAAGGUCGUGAAACAUAGCGAGCAACAGCAAGAACAAGCGCAGGAAUAUAUCCAUCCAUAUACAGCAGCGAGCAUACCUUCCUUGCCUUUCUCCGUGAGGUCCAUUGCAAUCCAGAAACCUUCAAGUAUGGGCAGAUCUGCAAUUUCUCAGGCCCUUCCGGUGCACCAGGAAGACGAGGACCUGUUCGAGACCUCCUCCUCCUUCUCCUGCGACUCCGACGACGAGGCCCAGUUCUCCGACGGCGAGGACCAGUUUGUGCCGGCUUCCCCGCCGGUGCGGAGACUGAAUUCUGACAGCGUCUACGAUCUGUCGUCCAUGAAAGCAGAGCUCUCUGUCAAGAAAGGAGGGUUGUCCAAGUACUACGACGGAAAGUCCCAGUCGUUCGCGUGCAUGUCCGAGGUGAGGUGCCUGGAGGACCUGCCCAAGAAGAGCCCCUACAAGAAGAUCAAGUCGUGCAGGAGCAACAUCGAUCUGGACGGGAACCAGAAAGCCUGCCCCGUACCUGGUUCUCACAACAGCAAAGGAAUGGCCAAGCCCUCUGGAAGCUCUUGCGCGAAUCUGAUGGCCCGGAAUAACAGCGCAAACAUGCUCUACAGGCCUCCCGCGAUCCCUGUCAACAAGAGCGCGUGCCAUCAGUAGGGCUCGCGGCUGGAAAUGUCUGUCCACGGCUGGCCUCGCGCCUCUUCUUUGUUCCUUGAUGAGGAUUUUUCUUGGCGGGCGUAUUAGCCUGUCAAAUGUAAAGAGGCUUUUGAUUCUCUCAUGUUCAGGAAGAUAUUGAUUGAUUCGGUGUGUAAAUAGAGAGACCGGUUGUAUACCAAACAUUUUUUUUACUGCAGUGCCUGAUUAGCAAAAUUCUCUGAGAUCCGAAUUCUGAGAUCUUAUAACUAUCCUGGUUAUUCUGCUUUUGAAGAAAAAUGGGACAAAGGCAUAAGCCGUGCUCAUCCGGUCCAAGUCAUCGGUGUCCAAGCAAACCUAACUUGUGCAAUGUGGAGAUGUCCCAAUUGGAGUUGCAGAAAAGAGUCUAGUUUGCACAAGGUUAGGUCUUGACGCUCGUUACUCCAAGUGAACCGCCGAUUCUGCGAGUGAAUUUCCUUGACAAGGCGUCAUGGAAUAAGUUGAUGAUCCUUCUCCUAUCGAAGCUUGACUUAUUCUUGUCUCUCGCCCGGUAUAUCUGAUUGAAAUCACCGCAUACAAACCAACCCUCGCCGGGCUGCGGUAUAUUGGACCCCAAACGCCCUAAAAGCUUCCAGUUUGAGAAUUUAUGGAUUUAUAUACG